GAUGAACGCUGGCGGCGUGCCUAAUACAUGCAAGUCGAGCGAACGGACGAGAAGCUUGUUUCUCUGAUGUUAGCGGCGGACGGGUGAGUAACACGUGGAUAACCUACCUAUAAGACUGGGAUAACUUCGGGAAACCGGAGCUAAUACCGGAGAAUAUUUUGCACCGCAUGGUUCAAAAGUGAAAGACGGUCUUGCUGUCACUUAUAGAUGGAUCCGCGCUGCAUUGGCUAGUUGGUAAGGUAACGGCUUACCAAGGCAACGAUGCACAGCCGACCUGAGAGGCUGAUCGGCCACACUGGAACGGAGACGCGGUCAGGACGACUGAGGGAGGCAGCAGUAGGGAAUCUGCCGCAAUGGGCGAAAGCCUGACGGAGCAGCGGCGAGUGAGUGAUGGAGGUCUUCGGAUCGUAAAACUCUGUUAUUAGGGAAGAACAUAUGUGUAAGUAACUGUGCACAUCUUGACGGUACCUAAUCAGAAAGCCACGGCUAACUACGUG
rnacentral:rRNA from 1 species